GAUCCUGGCUUAGGAUGAACGCUGGCGGCGUGCUUAACACAUGCAAGUCGAACGGAGCUUAGAAGGAAGCUUGCUUCAUUAAGCUUAGUGGCGGACGGGUGAGUAACGCGUGAGCAACCUGCCCUCGAGUGGGGAAUAACAUCGAGAAAUCGGUGCUAAUACCGCAUAAUGUCGAGAGACCGCAUGAUCUUUCGACCAAAGGAUUUAUUCGCUUGAGGAUGGGCUCGCGUCCGAUUAGCUAGUUGGUGAGGUAACGGCCCACCAAGGCUUCGAUCGGUAGCCGAACUGAGAGGUUGAUCGGCCACAUUGGGACUGAGACACGGCCCAGACUCCUACGGGAGGCAGCAGUGGGGAAUAUUGGGCAAUGGGCGAAAAAGCCUGACCCAGCAACGCCGCGUGAAGGAUGAAGGUCUUCGGAUUGUAAACUUCUUUGAUUGGGGAAGAAUAAAAUGACCUACCCAAAGAACAAGCCACGGCUAACUACGUGCCAGCCGCCGC
rnacentral:rRNA from 1 species